GCCUUCGUGGUGUAAUGGUUAGCACACUUAACGUGUACUCGAGAGGUCCGAGGUUCGAAUCCCGGCGAAGGAA
rnacentral:tRNA from 1 species